rnacentral:rRNA from 1 species
CCUACGGGCGGCAGCAGUGGGGAAUAUUGGGCAAUGGGCGCAAGCCUGACCCAGCAACGCCGCGUGAAGGAAGAAGGCUUUCGGGUUGUAAACUUCUUUUAAGAGGGAAGAGAAGCAGACGGUACCUCUUGCAUAAGGCACGGCUAACUACGUGACAGCAGCCGCGGUAAUACGUAGGCGGCAAGCGUUGUCCGGAUUUACUGGGUGUAAAGGGCGUGUAGCCGGGCAGACAAGUCUGAUGUGAAAUGCCGGGGCUCAACCCCGGACCUGCAUUGGAGACUGUUGGACUUGAGUAUCGGAGAGGCAGGCGGAAUUCCUAGUGUAGCGGUGAAAUGCGUAGAUAUUAGGAGGAACACCAGUGGCGAAGGCGGCCUGCUGGACGACAACUGACGGUGAGGCGCGAAAGCGUGGGGAGCAAACAGGAUUAGAUACCCCAGUAGUC